rnacentral:tRNA from 1 species
GCUGGGUUGGACGGUGGGGCGCCCACCUGGGCUUGCGCCUGGGGACGAUGGCGAUCCUUGGCGCCGACGCGGCA